rfam:Kitasatospora cheerisanensis KCTC 2395 genomic scaffold scaffold00001, whole genome shotgun sequence.
CUUCAGCGAGCCCAGCCGCAGCGGCUGCCCGGCGGGCCGGUCCUGCCCGUAGGUGGCCAUCAGCGCCUGGGCCUC